rnacentral:lncRNA from 1 species
AUUUCUUGGGUAGGGUUGGGAUUCAAUUUUCUCAAUUUGGGGAUUUCCAGAUUCCGAACAGCAGCUCCUUCCAAACUUCUCAAUUCCCGAAAAUACGAGAGGUGAAUUUUUCAUUUUUAUUAUUUGUUGUGUUCUUCUCUUGCGUGAGUAUCAAUCUUCUUGGUAUAUAUAUAUAUAUAUAUAUAUAUAUAUAUAUUUUCCGAUCCGAUUGGUUUAUUUUUGUGUUCAAUUCUUGGGUUUGUCUGUUUUGUCCUUGUUAACCCCCAAAUUUCUUUUUCUUUUUUUGGCAUUUUGGUAAGCUUGUUGAUCGUCGUGUGGUGCGACAGUUUUCAGAAUUCGUGCUUUUUGUUUUUUGUUCUUUUGAUUUUUAAUUUUUCGAUUUUAUGUGUCUUUUUAAUUGAUUUCUGAGUGCAACUACAAUUUGGGAUUCUUAACCUUUUCUACUUUCUAAUUAGGGUUUUGGUAAAGAAAUCUUUUUAUUUGCCUAAUGCAUGUGUUAAUUAACAACACAUCUACAAUCAAUUUGCUCCAACCUGGGAGAAUCAUAAAUUUUCAUUUGCUUGUUUUAUGUGCAAUGGUGAGUAUUUAAACUAGAUUUUUUAGCUCAAGGGGAAGGAAGAAAAUGGGAAGAUAAAAAUUAAAAUUACGGAGCUGAGGGUUCUGUCAAGUUGAUGCCUUCAAACUUAUGUUUUACUAAUUGAUGCCUUGAAAAUUAGAGUUUCAAUUUUUGGUACUAAGAAAUAAUUUUGCAAUGCUGGUUAUAUUCCCCAAUGAGCUACCUUUAGAUGGUGUUAUCAAGUGUUUUACUCCCUUCAAAGAUCAAGGAUGAGAUUCGUGUUUGGGUGCUUGAUUGUUACUUUUGACAUUGAAUUUUAUAUCAGCCUUUACAGACUCCUUUUUCUUGUAUUAGACAGAACUUGUAUUGCUAUAGCCCAUAUCGGUCGGCGAGUUUUGUGCAGUUUGAGACACUGAGUGCCACAUAUUUAUGAUAUUCAAUUAAAUUGAACAUUAACUCAGGGACUCGCAUAUUGUAGUCAAGCUCGCAUGCCCUGUGAUAUGUAUAGAUAAAUUACAUUAUGUUGUAAAUAUAUAAGGUGGAGCUCACCUCCAAUUGGAAGGAGCUUUGCCUACAAAAGGGUUCACUCUUCUCUUUAUAAUGCCAGAUUGAUAAUACUAAGAGAGGAACCAAUUCAAGGGUUUUUCUCUACUUCUAAAUUCUCUCUCAAAUUUCUUGGUUUUCUAACACGUUAUCAGCACGAAAAGCUUUAUUUUAUCGCACAUUUAUUUAUACUACUAACCAUUGUAUAAUAUAUAUAUAUAUAUAUAUAUAUGAAAAGUUGAUGGUAAUAUAAUAUGCUAUAUCUAUUUACUUUUCUAUUACUAACCACUAACAAAAAAUGGACCUUUGGUAAUACUAAACAUAUUAUCAGUGGGAGACCGUUACUAAUACUAACAUUUUUUUUAUUUUAUUUGGUGGUGGUUUUAACCCCUUAUUUAUUUUAAUUACUGUAUGGUGUAGUUUUAUUACCCAUACGACAAUAUUUAUUUAAAAGGGUGGCGCGGGUUUAUCGUCCACGCCUUUCUUUUUAUUUAAGAUAUGGUGCGGAAUUAACGUCCAUAUAGCAAGUAAUUUAUUUUAUCGCACAUUUAAUUUUAUUUAAGAUAUGGUGCGGAAUUAACGUCCAUAUAGCAAGCAAUUUAUUUUACCGCACAUUUAAUUGUAUUUAAGAUAUGGUGCGCAAUUAACGUUCAUAUAGCAAGCAAUUUAUUUUAUCGCACAUUUACUUUUACUUAAAGUAUGAUGAGGAAUUAACCCUCAUACUUUAUGAAUUUACUUUACCGCACAUUUACUUUUAUUUAACGUAUGAUGCGGGUUUAUCGUCCAUACAAGCAAUUCAUUUACCAAUAAUUUAAUUUACAAGCAAUUUAUUUUAUGGAUUAAUUGUGUUGUAUGAUGAGUUUUUUUUUACAAGGAUACAGAUCAAAACCAGAAGUUUCUUGAUCCUCAUCAUACAAUUACAUCAGGACUUGAAGAUCCUUGAUGAUGAUAUUGAUAUGAGAGCUAGCAGUCUCUCCAGUACUAUAUUUGUAAACAUGUGAUCGGACUUGAGGGUCCUUGAUUCUUGAUAUGUAAAUAAGGACAUGGGGUUCCUUAAAUGAUGUAACAAUACUAUAUUGGUUAAUAGUGCCGUACACAUAAAAAUAACUGUAUUGGCAAAUGUACUGUACACAUGAAUAGUGCCAUAUACAUAAAUAGUGAUGUAUGCAUAAAUAUUUACCAUUUUGGGUAACUGUCACUAUUCAAAAGGGAACCUGCAGUUCCUUAAACUCAUGGAUGAGCAAUUAAAUAAGAUGUCAGAAGUUCCUCAAGAUAUGGACAAUUAUGUAAGGGCUUGAAGUCCAGAAAUAUGUACAGAAAAUUGUAAAAAUGUCCAUACCAUGAGAAUAUGUGAUUUUGGCUUGAGGUUCAAAAUCUAACAGUAUUGAGAACCUGAAGUUCCAACAAUUAAAUGGACAACCCUUGAGUUAUUAUUGGAAAUUGUGGUACGCCACAUAUUUCUUUGGCAUAAGAGAAUGAUGAAUUUAAUAAAGUUCGAUUCUGUUAUAAUCGACACCUCAAGGAAGAAAUAUAUUUUGUGAAUUCCGAUUGUUAAGAAUACACCGUGAAAUGGAUAAUAUCAAUAUAAACCUCAAAUGAUGAAUUGAGGCUCCACACAUAUUUUGAUAUAUCUGGGCCGGAAGGACAUGGAUUCAAAUAUAUGAGAAAUCCCGAAUUUGAGAUUGUGGGUAUAUAGUAGUUAAUGAUCUUCACUACUAUAUUGCGAUAUUAGCGUGGUUUUUACUCAAUUCAUAUUUCAUGUCCAUUUGAAAAAGGGCGAAUAAAUUCUGAGUUUGUGUUUAGCCCAGGUCAAAAGUUCUGGGCUCCCAUACGAUGAAAUAUGAAAUUUGGGAGAGUCGAUGUGGUUAUUUGAACCUAUAAGGCGCAAGGUUCCAAAUCGUCAUUUUGAAAAGACAUAAAAACCACAGGUGCAAAUUUAAGAAUGUGUGCAAUUAUUAUAACAGGAAAGAAGCAUACAACAGAUAGAUUUUUUCCACCUGCAAUGAAGGUGUAGGCCCUGUAAAAUCUAUAAAAUUACAUCAUGUUCUGGAAGCCUCUGAAGGAAGAGGACGACGCCUCUUAAGCUUAGUCAUAAGCCUCUCGUGGUCUCCCAAAAUUCUUUCAUUGGAGACCUGCAGCAUGUCUAGCCUUCUCAGUGUAUCAACGGAGUGCGAACUCACCAGUUUCAACAAGGCAUUAUUCUCUCCUUUAAGUUUCUCAACCUCCUGUUGAGACUCAUGAAGCAUUCUUUGAAGAGACGAAUUUUCAGUUGUUAACUUCUGAACCUCGUUUGCUCUAGCACGCAAACGAUCAGUCAUGUUAGAAACAGAAGCAGCACUCUAAAUGCUAGAAGCCAUUGAGUCAUCAAUAGCCUCUUCCUCAGACCUCCCUGUUAACAGCAUUUCAUCCAUUGGAGUAAUGAAAUUCCUAGCUACUAUGACAGCAGUAGCAUCAUUCAUCAUCACAGAAUCAUUAACUGUGAGAUGACGAUUUUGGGAUACAAAGGAUGGACGCCAAACUUUGGCGUCACUGGUUGUUGUGGGAGCAUCAUUUAAAUUGAAAUAAUUUGGGCAGGAAGAAGAGGAAGCCAUUUUUAAGAAGGUUUCGAAGAAAGUCUUAGGAAAACUAAAGUUUCAGAAAAUGAAGGAAGUUAAGUUGAAACGCAGUUGCUCCAAUCAAGUUUCGCAAAGGCCAUAUCUAUAGGAGGAAAUAUGGCUACAGUUUUUCAGGAUCCCAAUAUCUUCUCGGAUCCCCAUAUUCUCUUUUUGUUUCCCAGAUUCCAAAACUUCACGCGGCCUCCAUUUAUGUUUGUCGGCACUUUCGGCAUCUUCAAGUAUUAUUUUCGUCAAAAGCCGAUCUUGCUUUGCGGAUUUUACAGAGCUAUUUUUUCAAAAGUACCCCGAGAAUCUCGCAAUUUUUCUAUAGUUAAUUUGAAAUUCACCGGUUCUACUUAUUCCUCUUAUUUGUGUAUAAAUGUGUUACUAACGAAAUUUUCUUUGCAGAAGACAUCCAGUUUUCUCCAUACCUAGUGAUGCAAUAUCUACUUGUUUUUCUUAUCAGUGAGCACUCAAUAUGCCCGAGAAGCAAGACUAUCUCUGAUCAUCCAUUCAGGAAGCGAGACUAUCCCUGAUCACGUUUCCGCCACAUCAGGGAACUGUGAAGGCGACCUUAUGCUCUAAUCUCCGGAAGUUCUUCUAAACUAGGAGAAAUGAGAGCUUAUUGUCUGCUCCCACCAGCUUCCUUCCUUGAUUGCUUACCUUAUCUUGCAAUCAAUAUCACAAUUUUUUUGCAUUUUUUCUCUUUUUGUAACUCUCUGUUCAUAAGAGAUUUUAUUUCUUUAGAAUGAACAUCUGAAGAAAGAAUCCAUGAAGUGAUCCUAACUCUGAGGGUUAUUUGUUUUGACAGAGGCAAAAGAGUUGUGAUUUUUGCUCUUGCAGGAUAAAACUAGAUCAUCAAGCGCUACAUUAUAUUUACUGGGCCGAUACAAGCUUGAAUGAUACUUGAGAAAAACUUCUCCCACCUAAGGAUGUAAGCAAUACUUGUGUUAUUUUAUGCUUAUUUACUUAUUUGAUAUUUUAUCUUGAAAGGUAACCAAAUGGGAAGAUAAGUCCGUUCCAAAAGAAUGGCUUGUAUGUAUCCAUGAAUUAUUAACGCAAAUUUUACAGAUUGUAAGUUGGAUACAUUGAUAAUACACUGCACAGAUUAAAGUCCCAUAAGAACAGAAUAUGGGUAUAGCAGUGAUCAAUAUGAUGCACGCCUGUUGCGUAGCAAAUGAUGUGGAUUGAAGUCUCGAAAGGACAAUCCUUUGACAUGUCAAUGUUGAUAUUGUGCACGCCUAAUGCGUAGCAAAUUGUAUGGGUUAAAGUCCCAGAAAUUAAUUGACAUGUAUGUAUUAAUCUGUGGUAUGCCUGCAGCAUGACAGAUAUAUGGGUUCUAAAUGUUCCAACUCCCUAAAUGGAGAUUAUCCACGCCUUACUGCAAAAUAACGCUCCAUUGGAGGUUAUAAUCCACAUUCUCACAUCAUAAAAGCCCCCUGAAGUGGCUUGGGUACCCAAAGGCAAAGAAAUGCUUAUAAUUGAUGCAUGCGCAUGCACAUGAGAAUAGUGGUAUCAUGAAUUGAUGAAUGACAAUUUUUAUUUUUGGAGUAGCUACUCAAAUCAUCAAUAGGCUGUGUUAAUUGGAACCACGUUCAAUUAUUAAAUAUCGACAAUAUCAUUGGCUAAAAUGGAAUGAGGCAAUUCCAUUAUAGAUAAGAAUGAACGUCAAAUAACAAACCCACAGUACGAACCCCAAAAGAUGUUAAUAUUGAAAGUUAUACUUGGGUGUUCGGAAUAAAAGGGAAUAUACCUACUUUGUAUGACACAAUGUUUUCUGGCAGAAACAAAGAAUGUUAGGUUUUCUUCAUAUUUCAAUUGUGCCCCCUUGUUGCACAUUUACGGAGACCAACAUGUUAUCUUUAAGGGUUAUUAAAUGUACGGAGCAUAUUGCCAGAAGCGAUUCCCUAAAGAUGUAUAAAUAGCUGGGUUAAAGCUAUAUAAUGUGUCAUAAAGUUUAAUCCCUUUUAAACAAAAUCCGUUGAGAGGAUUGAAAUUGCAUAAAGCAAGUCCCUAAAGGACAUGUGCUUGAAGCACAAAAUCUGUACUCAAUAUUAAUAUGCAUAAAUUGCCUCAGUGAGUACAUUGAUUAUAUUGUAUUUGCAAAGCUUCUGAAGAGUUCAUGAAAUAUUUGUCUCGACCUGAAAAUCGAGCGUUAUGCCAAUGAGAUUUUUGCUAAGAAAGUAUUGAAGCAUUUUUGUGUGGAUUAUCCGUUGGGCACUUAAAUAAUUUUUCGGACGUAUAUUAGACCGGACAUUGUAUAUUCCAGAUAGAGUUCAACUCCAUCACCAUCACUUUGGGAUGAUGUGAGGCAUAUUUGAUGCUAUCUAAGCACAACACCAUAUACGGGCAUAUUUUUGAAUGAACUUAUAAAUAGCCCAAGUGGAAAAAGCUAGUCAUGAAGUUUUCAGUGGGAGAUAUUCAUCAGGGGGGAGCGUGCUAUUGAUAAAGACCUUCAUACACUAUUGACUCACAGAAGCAGUGUCAACUAUGAUAUUCAGAAAAAUGAUCAACAGGGGGAGCGUGCUGUCAAUAAAGAUCUUCAAACACUGUACUCUUUUUCCUUCGUCUAGGUUUUUAUCCCACUGGGUUUUUCCUGGUAAGGUUUUAACGAGGCAGUGUCGCACGCUUGUCAAUAUACACAGAAUUUUAUGUUACACAUGAUUAUGUACUUUUUUUUUCCUUUGACCAGUUUUUGUCCCACUGGGUUUUUACUAGCAAUGUUUUUAACGAGGCAUAUUCCGUAUCAUUUGUGGUCUCCAAGGGGGAGUGUUGUAAAUAUAUAAGGUGGAGCCCACCUCCAAUUGGAAGGAGCUUUGCCUACAAAAGGGUUCACCCUUCUCUUUGUAAUGCCAGAUUGAUAAUACUAAGAGAGGAACCAAUUCAAGAGUUUUCUCUACUUCAAAAUUCUCU